AUUGAACGCUGGCGGCAUGCCUUACACAUGCAAGUCGAACGGCAGCACGGAGCUUGCUCUGGUGGCGAGUGGCGAACGGGUGAGUAAUAUAUCGGAACGUACCCAAGAGUGGGGGAUAACGUAGCGAAAGUUACGCUAAUACCGCAUACGUUCCAAGGAUGAAAGCAGGGGACCGCAAGGCCUUGUGCUGCUGGGGCGGCCGAUAUCUGAUUGGCUAGUUGGUGAGGUAAAGGCUCACCAAGGCAUCGAUCAGUAGCUGGUCUGAGAGGACGACCAGCCACACUGGAACGGAGACACGGUCCAGACUCCUACGGGAGGCAGCAGUGGGGAAUUUUGGACAAUGGGGGCAACCCUGAGCCAGCAAUGCCACGUGAGUGAAGAAGGCCUUCGGGUUGUAAAGCUCUUUUGUCAGGGAAGAAACGGUGAAGGCUAAUAUCCUUUGCUAAUGACGGUACCUGAAGAAUAAGCACCGGCUAACUACGUGCCAGCCGCCGCAGUAACAC
rnacentral:rRNA from 1 species